GACGAACCGAGCGAACGUUGUUCGGAAUCACUGGGCGUAAAGGGCGCGUAGGCGGUCUCUUAAGCGUGUGGUGAAAGCCCGGGGCUCAACUCCGGGUCGGCCGUGCGAACUGGGAGACUGGAGCUUGUCAGAGGCAGGCGGAAUUCCGGGUGUAGCGGUGGAAUGCGUAGAGAUCCGGAAGAACACCGGUGGCGAAGGCGGCCUGCUGGGACAGUGCUGACGCUGAGGCGCGACAGCGUGGGGAGCAAACAGG
rnacentral:rRNA from 1 species